rnacentral:rRNA from 1 species
AGUGAACGCUGGCGGUAGGCCUAACACAUGCAAGUCGAACGGCAGCACAGUAAGAGCUUGCUCUUACGGGUGGCGAGUGGCGGACGGGUGAGGAAUACAUCGGAAUCUACUUUUUCGCGGGGGAUACGUAGGGAAACUUACGCUAAUACCGCAUACGACCUACGGGUGAAAGCAGGGGAUCUUCGGACCUUGCGCGAUUGAAUGAGCCGAUGUCGGAUUAGCUAGUUGGCGGGGUAAAGGCCCACCAAGGCGACGAUCCGUAGCUGGUCUGAGAGGAUGAUCAGCCACACUGGAACUGAGACACGGUCCAGACUCCUACGGGAGGCAGCAGUGGGGAAUAUUGGACAAUGGGCGCAAGCCUGAUCCAGCCAUACCGCGUGGGUGAAGAAGGCCUUCGGGUUGUAAAGCCCUUUUGUUGGGAAAGAAAAGCAGCAGGUUAAUACCCCGCUGUUCUGACGGUACCCAAAGAAUAAGCACCGGCUAACUUCGUG